rnacentral:rRNA from 1 species
UAGGGAAUAUUGGACAAUGGGGGGAACCCUGAUCCAGCCAUGCCGCGUGGAGGAAGACUGCCCUCUGGGUUGUAAACUCCUUUUAUAUGGGAAGAACCGUCCUAAUUGAUGAGUGCCCUGACGGUACCAUAGGAAUAAGCACCGGCUAACUCCGUGCCAGCAGCCGCGGAAUUCCGGAGGGUCAAGCCGUUAUCCGGAUUCACUGGGUUUAAAGGGUGCGUAGGCGGAUAUGUAAGUCAGUGGUGAAAUCAACGGGCUCAACCUGUUAACUGCCAUUGAUACUGUGUAUCUUGAAUAUGAGAGAGGUAGGCGGAAUGUUGCAUGUAGCGGUGAAAUGCUUAGAUAUGCUACGGAACACCGAUUGCGAAGGCAGCUUACUAUUUCGUAAUUGACGCUGAGGCACGAAAGCGUGGGUAGCGAACA